UUUUGACAGUCUUAUCCUUUAUUAUCCUUGAUUGAUCUAUUGCGAUCGAGCGCACAUCUGCCUGCAACUUCUCUAUCAUCGCCAACCGGCGCAAAGGCGCGCCGCGGACGCCUCCUCACCCGCCGAGCCGCCGCCUACUCUCCCUUCGCACGCGCCUCCGCCCCCUCACCAAGCUGCAAGAGAAGGUUGCCGCGCCCUGGCCGCCGGUAAGGCCUCCCACUCCUCCGUUCUGUCUGGGUCGUCGGCUAGGCCGUACUGCAAGUUCUUCGCUUCACUGGCGAAACCAAUCAAUCAGGCGGCUCAGAUAUGGAAGAAAAUAGCAUGGCAAAGGUCCCCAUCAUCCGCGAAAAUAUCACUGCAUGAAGGGUAAGUCCGGAUUAAACCUAGUGUGGAGUAAGAAAUAUCUCUGGAAAAGAGCAAGGAAGGUGAGGACGAAUUCUUGUUCAUAGACCAACAUGAUUGAUUAGAAGAAACCACAUAAUACUAUAUCAACCUUACUGAUUCAUUCGUGCUAAUUAACGCUAAGCUGACUUGUGGUUGCUUUAGAGCCUGACACUGUUAGAAAUUCAGAGUAUGCUUGCAGUGUGAUAGGAAUUGAACAUGUCCGUGUAAUCAAAUGAAAAGAGAUGCA